rnacentral:rRNA from 1 species
GGGUUGUGAGGUUAAGCGACUAAGCGUACACGGUGGAUGCCCUGGCAGUCAGAGGCGAUGAAGGGCGUGCUAAUCUGCGAUAAGCGCCGGUAAGGUGAUAUGAACCGUUAUAACCGGCGAUACCCGAAUGGGGAAACCCAGUGUGAUUCGUCACACUAUCAUUAACUGAAUCCAUAGGUUAAUGAGGCGAACCGGGGGAACUGAAACAUCUAAGUACCCCGAGGAAAAGAAAUCAACCGAGAUUCCCCCAGUAGCGGCGAGCGAACGGGGAGGAGCCCAGAGCCUGAAUCAGCAUGUGUGUUAGUGGAAGCGUCUGGAAAGGCGCGCGAUACAGGGUGACAGCCCCGUACACAAAAGCGCAUGUGCUGUGAGCUCGAUGAGUAGGGCGGGACACGUGGUAUCCUGUCUGAAUAUGGGGGGACCAUCCUCCAAGGCUAAAUACUCCUGACUGACCGAUAGUGAACCAGUACCGUGAGGGAAAGGCGAAAAGAACCCCGGCGAGGGGAGUGAAAAAGAACCUGAAACCGUGUACGUACAAGCAGUGGGAGCACAGGUUUACCUGUGUGACUGCGUACCUUUUGUAUAAUGGGUCAGCGACUUAUAUUCUGUAGCAAGGUUAACCGUAUAGGGGAGCCGUAGGGAAACCGAGUCUUAACCGGGCGUUAAGUUGCAGGGUAUAGACCCGAAACCCGGUGAUCUAGCCAUGGGCAGGUUGAAGGUUGGGUAACACUAACUGGAGGACCGAACCGACUAAUGUUGAAAAAUUAGCGGAUGACCUGUGGCUGGGGGUGAAAGGCCAAUCAAACCGGGAGAUAGCUGGUUCUCCCCGAAAGCUAUUUAGGUAGCGCCUCGUGAAUUCAUCUCCGGGGGUAGAGCACUGUUUCGGCUAGGGGGCCAUCCCGGCUUACCAACCCGAUGCAAACUGCGAAUACCGGAGAAUGUUAUCACGGGAGACACACGGCGGGUGCUAACGUCCGUCGUGAAGAGGGAAACAACCCAGACCGCCAGCUAAGGUCCCAAAGUCAUGGUUAAGUGGGAAACGAUGUGGGAAGGCCCAGACAGCCAGGAUGUUGGCUUAGAAGCAGCCAUCAUUUAAAGAAAGCGUAAUAGCUCACUGGUCGAGUCGGCCUGCGCGGAAGAUGUAACGGGGCUAAACCAUGCACCGAAGCUGCGGCAGCGACACUGUGUGUUGUUGGGUAGGGGAGCGUUCUGUAAGCCUGUGAAGGUGUGUCGUGAGGCAUGCUGGAGGUAUCAGAAGUGCGAAUGCUGACAUAAGUAACGAUAAAGCGGGUGAAAAGCCCGCUCGCCGGAAGACCAAGGGUUCCUGUCCAACGUUAAUCGGGGCAGGGUGAGUCGACCCCUAAGGCGAGGCCGAAAGGCGUAGUCGAUGGGAAACGGGUUAAUAUUCCCGUACUUGGUGUUACUGCGAAGGGGGGACGGAGAAGGCUAUGUUGGCCGGGCGACGGUUGUCCCGGUUUAAGCGUGUAGGUGUGUGUUCCAGGUAAAUCCGGUUCACUUUAACACUGAGGCGUGACGACGAGGCACUACGGUGCUGAAGCAACAAAUGCCCUGCUUCCAGGAAAAGCCUCUAAGCAUCAGGUAACAUCAAAUCGUACCCCAAACCGACACAGGUGGUCAGGUAGAGAAUACCAAGGCGCUUGAGAGAACUCGGGUGAAGGAACUAGGCAAAAUGGUGCCGUAACUUCGGGAGAAGGCACGCUGACACGUAGGUGAAGUGAUUUACUCAUGGAGCUGAAGUCAGUCGAAGAUACCAGCUGGCUGCAACUGUUUAUUAAAAACACAGCACUGUGCAAACACGAAAGUGGACGUAUACGGUGUGACGCCUGCCCGGUGCCGGAAGGUUAAUUGAUGGGGUCAGCGCAAGCGAAGCUCCUGAUCGAAGCCCCGGUAAACGGCGGCCGUAACUAUAACGGUCCUAAGGUAGCGAAAUUCCUUGUCGGGUAAGUUCCGACCUGCACGAAUGGCGUAAUGAUGGCCAGGCUGUCUCCACCCGAGACUCAGUGAAAUUGAACUCGCUGUGAAGAUGCAGUGUACCCGCGGCAAGACGGAAAGACCCCGUGAACCUUUACUAUAGCUUGACACUGAACAUUGAGCCUUGAUGUGUAG